rnacentral:lncRNA from 1 species
UCAGUGACCACUACAGUGCAGAUACUCUGCAUACACAUCUCUAGAGUGUGUUUUUCUUUAAUUUCCGGUCGUUUCUUUGGGGACAGGUCUUAGUUUGCUGUACAUUUAGUUUUUCUUACCAAUGUUCAACAUCUUCCUCAAGGCACUGUGGAUUGAAGCUGAGCUGUUUUGGGAAAGGGCAGUCAGAAACUGGCCCCUAUCCAGAUAUUCACCAACUCAUUCUUAUGCUCUUAAACUACAAGACCUCUAAGGGACAUCACAAUGUCUCCAAAAGUGAUGAAAGCAAAAGACCAGCUACCUCUGACUCUCACAUCAUCAGGAAAAUCUUUCCCGAUCCCCUGGAAUGUUUUUUCAGAGGAGUAUUCUAUAUCUAGGUUGAUGAAUUUCAGGAAGAAAAUACAGCUCAUCUAUGAUUCAAAAAUACUGCUAAUUCUUGAGUAUUGAGGCUUUUCCGUGACUGGAUGCUGGAGACGAUUGACUCUUGUAAUGGCCUUCAGAAACAAAAGAUCUUGAGAAGGAUUGUACAGUGUAUGGGACUCCCUGCUUUCCCACACAGGCACUGAAAAUGUGUAAAAUUGGAUUCAGGAAUUCGAACAAUAAAAUGAUUAAAGAGGAAAGACCCUUGUAAGGUCAUAGCAUAGCGUUGGUUAUGUAAAAUGCCUUCGAUCCUUGGAAAUUUUUAUGCUUUUUUCUAUUUUUUCUUUUUCUAUUCUUAUGUUUCUUAGAGCUAUGAGAUGAUCACAUUGUAACUGAGCACAUACACCUUAUUUUGAUAAGGGUGACAUCAUGAACUCAUCAUCACUUAGGGAGAGGUAGAGAGGUAGUGGAGAACACCAGAAUUUAUAAGACUCACUAUGAAAAAUGCCACCUACUUGUCAUGAUACUCCUUUUAAAAACAUGGUUCUUGAAAUCAAACAUUUGGUAACCACUGAGUUAAGCAACUUAAGAAAAAAUUUUCUAGACUAAUUAGGGACUAUGCUAGAUAACACAGGUUUCCUAGCUGUUGGUUCACUACUCUCUCCAAUGAU